rnacentral:lncRNA from 1 species
UGUUAUUUAAUUUUGAUGUGACUUAUAUUUAUUAAAGAUAAAGAAAAUUUAAGAUUAGAUAAGCCUUAGUUUUGCAUUGAGAUUUAUCUGACGUCAUUAGAUAAAAUAGAGUUCGAAUAAAAACAUAUAAGGAUAUGUUUCUACGUUUUUGGAUCGAACAUUAGAAAAUAUAUCGUAACUAACUUAUCGCGAUAUACGAAAUGUUACAUACGAAAACAAAUAAGAUAUUUUUUUUAUUGUACUUUCUCACCGUACGUAAUGUAAUCUAUCCGUAACCUCAAACAAAACCUAAGUUAUAAUUAAAAUAGAAAAUGUUUUGGAUGCCCCAUUGGUAAUCUUGUAUAGGCGUGUGCUUCAACCAAUUCAAAACAUUACGGAUAAUAUAACGUAAUAAAAAAAUAACUGUAAAAUUAUUUGCUUCUAGUUCCAAUAAUAAUCAAGCUAUUAAGCAUUUUCCCAUUAAAUAAACUAAAAAAAAGGGAAAAAAAUAUUUCUACCUUCGACGACUUCAAAAAAAAAAAGAAAAAAAGAAAAAAAAGUCCACCGAGACCGCGAGAAGCUCAGAAGCGCUUUUUCUUUUUCUUUUUCUUUUUCUUCUUUUUUUUUUCAAAAAUUAUUUUUCUACUUCUUCUUCCGCUUCCUCCGAGAUCCAAGCGAGGCUCCCAUUUGCGCUCUACUGCGAAAGAGAAAAAAAAAAAAAAAAAAUGGUGCCGCGAACGGCGAGGAGCCUCUGCGACAUCCGAUUCCUCCUCCUCCUCGCCGCGGCCGCGUUCAUCUACAUCCAGGUUCCCGCUUCUCCCCCCCGCGCUUUUUCCAAAAUCCGAACCUUUUCGAUCCAUCACCCAUGUCGUCGAAGCUGUGUCGUAAUCGUACAGAUCGGAAAACGCGGUGGAUUUGAUGUGGAGAAUCGGUUUAGGUCAAAGGUUGCGAAUUUAGGGUAGUUCAGUGGAGGGAAUGAUGAUCGAGUUGCUGAUUUGGUGGAUUAGUAGUGAGUUUAUGUGGAGUUCAUGACCAAAUUGAAAUCGAUUUGGGGCAUAAGAUUUAUAAGCAAGAGCUCGUGAUAUCGAGAGUAGCAUCAAUCGUAAUUUCAUGUCCAAAAUGAAAAAGAGUCUGUUUUUGAAGCUUCACAAAACCUUUAUUUGAGAUAAAAGUUAGAGGUAAGCUUCAGUUUCAGUUUGUUUCACUAGUAGAUACCUAGCUAUAUAAUCGGCCAUGCAUUCGAUUUAGUUAGAUGAGCACAAUAGUUCGACCGAACCUUUCGGAGAUAUAUCUAGUGUUAAGACAAAUCCUCGGUCGUUCUACUAGAUUGAUAUUUUGGGUAACAUGGUAUCAAAGCUAGUCCUAAACCCCUUCCGUUUUAAGAUGUCCUAUGUACGAUUCCCAAAUCCACCAUUCUAUGGCGUGGAUUCCACACGUAGCGUGGUAGACUUGAUAUCCGUGAGCAGGGGUGUCAACACUAAUUCCGGGCUGUUUCCUACUAGAUCGAUCGUUUGGGCAACAUUCAGGUGUAUGUGAACCUUUGAGAGAUGCGGCAAUCGUUCGAAACUUAUCUCAUUACUUUUUGGUUGGUCAUCAUAUUUCAUAAUUAUUGUCGUUCUAAAUAACGUUGCCAUGUCAUAAGUCUAUUGCUAGUGCAUCGUAAUUGCGUAAUUAACCAUAGGAUCUCUCAGAGAUUCAUCGCUUGUAUCACCUUUGAUUGAUAUUAACUAUCCAUUCCUUAAUAGCAGCGUUUGCUAUUUUCUAUUUCUAUUGUCUGAUGCUUGAAUUACCUUCACCUUUUAUUACUUCAGGUGCGCCUUUUUGCUACACAAUCUGAGUAUGCAGAUCGUCUAGCAGCUGCUGUAAGUAAUAAACAUCUUUUCAUGGUGAAGAACUUGUUGUGUCCUUUUUAGCAUUUAACUUCUAUUUAAAUACCUCUUUGCUACGCUUCUCUGUCAAUUCAGACUAGGUUUUUCUCAGUUUUCCCACUUAGGUUUUUGCUUAUUGUGCCGUGAUGCAUUAAAUUUGUGUCUCAUUGGAUUUAAGAUGGUCAGCUGUUAAAACCUUCAUUAACUGUGUUACUUCUUGUCAAUCUGGAAGGAUAUGCACAUAAAAUUAUAUUUGCAUUGACUCAGUUGUCUUGCUAAGCAUUUCACAACUUCCUGUUGGAUACAUUUAACAGGAGAAAGCUGAAAGCCAAUGUACGAGUCAUACGCGGUCCUUAAUUGAUCAAAUAAGCAUGCAGCAAGAAAAGAUUGUUCUACUUGAAGGUAUGAAAUAGUUAGCCCUUAAUGCAAUAAUUCCUCUUUUGUAGUCUUUACAGUGGAAGAUUGUGCAUAUGUACAAACAAGUGGCAGCUCACAAUUUUUGAAGUGCUGUUGUAGACAUAUCAAUUUAAGCAUUAUAACAUAUAUCUUACACAAUCUUGGCACUAUAACUGCUUUUUCAGUUGCCUUUGUUCUUCUUCUCUUUGGAUAUUGCUCAUUUUCCUCUGUUCUCCAUUUUUUCUUGGUUGCGUCAGUCAAAAUUCACUUUGCCAUUCAAUAUGCAUUUUAAUUUAUCUUAUACUCGAACACAUAUUAUUCUUUCCUGUAUUUGUUCUCACUACAUUGUCCGUCACAUGGAUAUGCAAAUCCUAAUAUUCAUUUACAGAAUGAUAAGGAAGUAUUGUGGUGUUUGUUUCUUUAUCAAAUAUUUAGUGUCUGCAGGACAUUAACGAGCAUGGAAGUUCUUUUUACACUUUAUGUCGCAAUAGGCAAUGUUCUUCAGAAAAUGUUACUUCUUUUUUAUUCAUAUGGUUUCUAGUCCUUAUGCAUCUAUCUAAUGCUGUAAGAGGAUUGCAUAAUUCCAGAUCCUAAUUUAUUUCACCGGUAUUUCAGAAUCGAAGAAAGUUAGAGAUGAAGAAUACUAUCAGUUGAAGACUCUAGUUCGAGCUCUUGAAAGUAUGGCUUUGUAUUCUUUACCAUUAUAAUUUCAUGGUUUUACUUAUUAGAUUUGGUUAAUUUUCACAAAAUUAUUCUUUGGGUCACUGUUCGCUGUAUUUAAAUACUCUCUUAAAACUGCUCAGUUGCAUGAUGAGAGUAAGAUGGAUCAUGCACAUGGAACCACUAGAAGAAGUAAAUAAGAUAGAUCAUAUUUUAAAAUACUCUCUUGGAUUUUGUUUAAAAUACUCUCUUCAAAGUAUGUUCUGUUUAAAAUACUCUCUUCAAAGUAUGGCUUUGGAUUAUUUUCUGUUCUAAUUUCAUAUAUUAUUUACUCAUUAGAUUUGUUUAAUUUUCACAAAAUUAUUCUAUGGGUCACUGCUCGCUAUAUGUUCUGUUUAAACUACUCUCUUAAAACUGCUCAGUUGCACGAUGACAAUAAGAUAGAUCACGCACAUGAAACCAUUUGAGUAAUUAAAUAAGAAUCAAAUUUAUUUAAGUAUCCUUGUGGGAACCAAUGGCCUUGGAGAACUGUAGGUGCGUGGGAUCUGCUUCGAAAUUAUGCCAUAUUGCCAUCCAACCAGAGGAAGAAAAAUUCUAACAAUUUUCUGAACUCUUUUAAAAAAAAUACCUCUUGCAUGGUCAGCUUGGAGCAUUCAGAGGAUUCUGGGUCCAUGAUUGGCUUUUAGAGCAUUGGUCCAGCAGUGAGCUUCAAUAUGUAGCUGCGCAAAGCUACGGUAAUGCCAGGCUGAGAAGCUGGCUUCCUUCCACGUGUAAAUAUGUAAAUGAGCUUUGUGUAUGUUGAAGUAUCCUCAGACUUAAUGCUUAUCCCUGUCAGACUAAUGCCUCUGCUGAACUGGGCUCAUUGAUAUCAUUCUUUAGUGUUUUGGCCUUUGUCAUACACAUAGAUACGAAUGUCCCUUUGUUCUUCUAUUCUCGUGUACAAAGAUAGAGUAGACAGAAGCACAGCAACGAGAAAGCUACUCUCACUUGAGAUAGGAGAGAAUAUGAAGUGAGAAAAGGAGAGUAGAUGGCUGACCCUGGUGUUUCUCUUAAAUGUUCAAUUCAUUAAUUUUAGUCCUAAUUUUUGUUGCUUGUGUAAGUGGCCUGUUUAUACAUUUCUUUCCAAAAUAUUUUUACCAUAAACACUUUCUUAUGUUUUCAUGCAGAAAGGAAUCUAGAGGCCUUGAUUAGCAAAAAUGAGGUGUGUUUGCAUAAAUGGCUUGCUUACUUUAUGUUUGCAGUUUUUAGUUAACACAUUUCAUCUUAAUUGUCUUCUUUCUGUACUUCAGGUUCCUGUUGCAGCCGUGGUAAUAAUGGCUUGCAAUCGUCCAGACUAUUUACAAAGAACAGUAGACUCUAUAUUGAAGUACGGUGUAUGCUUUACUUGUCUAUUGCUUCAUUAGUAGAAAAUUAAUUUUACCUCCCUGUGGCUUUGAAUUUUUAUCUAUUUCUAGUGGCUUGAUAUGAGGUUGAUACUGAAACAUAGUGUUUGCUUAAAAAUAGAGCCUUCUCUACUCCCAUCAAUUUUCUACUCUUAUCCACAAAUUAAUAUAUGAUCGACCAACUGAAAUCUUAUUGGACGAUUUUUUUUUUCACAGAUAUCAUAGCUCUGUCUCUUCAAAAUUUCCACUUUUUGUAUCCCAGGUAAUAUGUUUUUUUCUUUUGGAAAAAUAUAUACCAACCUCUUUACACGAGGACUUGAUUCCUUGGAUGGCCCAAUUUGACUUAGAUUCCCUUGAUACACAGGAUGGAACAAAUCCUGAUGUUAAAAGUAAAGCUUUGAGUUACAGCCAGAUCACUUAUAUGCAGGUUUGGUACUAGAAGGUUAAUUUUUUAUGCUUUUUCAUUACCUACUAUAAAAUGAGAUAAUCUGUCACUAUAUUUGUCAACUUGCAUUUGCUUCUCUACAUUAAAAUUGGCCCCUUUUGUUUCUUUUAGAUUUUAUUGCCCUUCAUUCUGUUAUGAAUGAUGCGGAUACCAACUGCUUCUUCAUCUGUUCCCUCUGAAUACUCUUUAACUGCUUAAAUUCUAGCACAGAAUGAAUGAUGCGGAUACCAACUGCUUCAUCUGUUCCCUCUGAAUACUCUUUAACUGCUUAAAUUCUAGCAUGAAUGUUUUCUUUAUCAUUUGACAAGAAAAAUUAAGAACUGAACUGCUGAUAACUGUUCGUAAUUGAAUUGUCGAUUACUUUAUUCAUUUGCAGCAUGUGGAUCUUGAACCAGUGCAUACAGAACGACCAGGAGAAUUAAUAGCGUACUACAAGAUUGCCAGUAGGUCUAAUUCUUUGUGCUUGUAAUCAUUUCCAUUUUGUCGUCAGCUAAGAAUUUUUUCUGUCUCAGGGCACUACAAGUGGGCUUUGGAUGAACUGUUCACAAAGCAUAACUUCAAUCGGGUAAUCAUAUUGGAAGGUGCUGUCUCUUUGAGGGUCUUUUUAAUAUUUUAUUUUUGGUCCAUUAGUAUUUAAAUGAUAAGACUAUGAUAUUGUCCUGAACAGAUGACAUGGAGAUAGCCCCAGAUUUCUUUGAUUAUUUUGAGGCUACGUCUACUCUACUUGAUAAUGAUAAGUAUGGUCCAUAUUAUCUGCUCAAUAUAUAUGAAAGAUUGAUAUCUUUUGGUGGUCUUUCAUUUUAUUUUGCCUUGACAUUAUCCUUCAUUCGGUAUUAUUGAAGGACUAUCAUGGCUGUAUCUUCUUGGAAUGACAAUGGCCAAGUGCAGUUUGUGCAUGACCCUGGUUAGUAUCAUGAGAAACUUUAUGCAAUGUGCCACAAUAAGAAUGUGUUUUUAUUAGCUAACUUUCCACAAAAAAAAAAAAAAAAAAAAAUGCAGAAACCCUUUAUCGCUCAGAUUUCUUUCCUGGGCUUGGAUGGAUGCUAACGAAAUCUACAUGGGAAGAACUAUCACCAAAGUGGCCUAAAGCAUAUCCUUGUUCUUCUUAUGUUUUUCUGAUUAUUUCUCUAGUGAAUAGACAUCCUUUUUUCAGCAAUUUUCUUCCUUGACAUUUUCAUACUUAUUGGGAUGAUUGGGUAAGGUUGAAGGAGGUACACAAAGAUCGCCAAUUUAUUCGGCCAGAGAUUUGCAGAACAUACAAUUUCGGUGAGCAUGUAAGUUGACCACAUGCUAAUAUCAAUCAUCAUCCGGUGAACGUUUUAAUUACUGAAAACAAGACUGCAUUAUGAAUGGCUUCUACUAGGUUGUACAAAUGAAACCUCUACUAAUUUUUAUACAUUAAUAGCAACAACAAGGUAGCAGUUCUCUUGUCCUGACUAAUUUAUCUUACUUGUGUAUACUAAUUUUGGACUGCUAGUACUUAUAAAUUUAGUGGCUUCCUUCUGACUUCAUUCCAGGGCUCUAGCAUGGGACAAUUUUUCAAACAGUACUUGGAGCCUAUUAAGCUGAACGAUGUCCAUGUAGGUUGAAAGUACCUUGAUUUUGGUCCUAUAAUUUCAAUUGAGUAAAUGUUUUCUUAUUUAUCAUUUUCAUCACCGCAGGUUGAUUGGAAAUCAGCUGACGUGAGCUAUCUGAGGGAGGUAAUAUGAUUUUGUUAUGUAGACUCUUCAGAAUCGAUUCUUUUGACCACAGUUGACUUACCUCAUUGUUUUAUUGUCAGGACAAAUAUCUGGUUUUAUUCCGAAAAAUUGUAUCUGAUGCAAAACCUGUUCAUGGGCCUGAUGCUGUUCCUACGGCUCAUAAUCUAGAUGUUGAUGUCAGGAUCCAGUACAGUGACCAGAGAGACUUUGAGCGAUUAGCUCGCCAGUUUGGUAUAUUUGAAGAAUGGAAGGCGAGUUCUCUUCCCUAAUAUCCUUACACUUUUGUUAAUAGAUUUACAAUUCCAUUUUACUGCAUUUAAAUCCAUGUCUUUCUUUUUUGGUUGGAUUUUGGAGGAAUUUUUUAUUCUUCUUUACCGUAUGCGGUUGAUCAUAGUUAGCAAACAUAAAUGGACCACCCCAGGUCCUUGAAUUUGUCUUUCGUGUUUAUUUUAAUGUUGUAAUGUUACAUGAAAAUUUUUGCAAUAAUUUCGGUUGCUAUAGCAAGGCAACCUCGACAAGUCUAAGACCGACUCAUAUCUCUUUUUCAGGAUGGAAUUCCAAGGACAGCUUAUAAAGGAGUCGUAGUCUUCCGAUAUAAUAGAACUCAAAGGCGCAUAUUCCUCGUGGGUCCAGAUUCUCUUCGGCAACUUGGGAUCAAACAUUCGUGAGACAAUUUAACAGCACAUUUUGUACACUUUAUGCUUUGACCUCAGAUCUCUGUUGGCAUGACGGGACUAAUGAAUCUUACAACCACACUCAAGAUAUACAUUAAAAGGAUGGUCCAAAUCCACCGAGUGCUCGAAUUAAUACCUCAGAAGAUGGUUUUAUCGGCAAACAAUAUCGGUAACGCCCUUGCAUUCCUUAAGUUUUCUUUUCUUUUUGUGUAAAUGCAAGAAUAUGUUUAUUAAAACUUUUAGGUGUUGGCUUCUGUUCACUCAGAUUAUAGAUGCAUGAUAUUUAGUCGAUUGAAACAUUUGAAGCUGUCACACAUAGGAAGUUACAUUGACAAUUUGCUGCAUUAGGAAGUACAAAAUCUCUCAAUCUGAUGUUUUUUCUCUGCAAUAAAAUGUUAGUUGCAUUUAUCAUUGUUGUUUCGAAUUGUUGAAUUGUUCAAGUUAGAUAAGUUAUGUAAUCAAAUCUUGGUUUCAGUUAGUUUCUCUUUUUUCAGAUACAUGAUAAUACAUUUUAUAAAAACCGAAAAAAAAUUGAAGAAGUUUUCUCGAUUUUUCUUAGUAAGUAUACAGCACUUCUCUUUCUAAGAAUUUCUUUUCAAAAUUCCUUCACAGUUAUUGCAACCUUCUUUCUGCAAUAAAAAGUACUUCCUUUUUUUGUGUCCUUUUCCUUGGAGCUGGAUCUCAAAAAAGAGCCAUAAAACCAACUACAUAUUUUUUGUUGGUUUUUUGAGAGGUUCUUUUUUACAAUAUAUUUACAUGAAAUGUCAAAUCAUCUAAGCAAAGAUGUAUUUUAUUUAGAUGAAAUGUCUAAUACUAAUGCAAUAUGUUCUCAAUCCCUCAAUCACCAACAAAUUAGUGUCAAAAUAAUUUGUACAAGAAAAAGAACAUCAACAGUAUUAUUUUAUCUGUGAAGUCUUGAGUACAUUCCAAAAAUGGCCAACCUGGCACACUGCAUUUUCCAUUAUUAUUGAUUGGUAUCAUGAGUUAAGAUAAGUUGUAUAUCCACACAACAAGUUGGCUUAUUAUGUUGAAGUCUACAUUGUAGUCAUAUAUUUAAAAUUAGAAAAAGAAAGAAAGGUCAAAACCAAGGGCUUUUAUUUUUAUAUUUAUAUUUUAUUUUUUUUGGAAAGGUUCUGGAUACUAUCGGUAGCACCAAGCGUUUGGUGCUAUCAAGUUUUCCACCGUUAGAUUCAACUCUUUGACUAUAUUUAUCCGUUAGAUUAUACUAUUAAAUCAAUAACUCACUCAAUCCUAUUAAGCCCACAUCAUUCUAAUCGUAUAUUUUUUCAUCCAAGAAUCGAAAACCUAAUAUCACCAAGAGCUUGGUGCUAUUACAAAAAAUUAAAUAGUUGAUUCGAAAGAAGUUAUGUAAAAUUAAAGAAAACAAUAAUUUUGUAGUAAAUAGAUGUAGAAAAAUAGGGAGUAGAGCAGCACACUUAUCUCCUCCUGUGUGACUAGGGCUGUCAACCAGUAGGAUUCGGGACGGAUUUUUAAAAAUUCGAACCCGAAUCCGACUCCAAACCCGAAAUUCGAACCCAAAUCCAAGCCCAACGGAUUUUGAAAAUUCAUAUCUAAAUCAAAACCCGACCAAAAAUUCGAAACCUUAACUCGAAUCCGAAUCCGAAAAUUCGAAUCCAAAACAAUUAUUUCUCUUUUUAAUAUUUUAAAAUAUAUUAUAUUAAAUCUGAAAUUUUAAAAUACAAAUUUAAAUAUAACAUCAAAUUUUUAUAUACAUAUUAUAUAUAAUGUAAAAAAAUUUGGGUUUGGGUCGGGGUCGGGUUCGGAUUUGGAUUUGGUACAGUCAAAAUUCAUAUCUGAGUUUAUAUCCGUUGAAUUUUUAUUUUUAAUAUUCAUAUUCGAAACUAUAUCAGUUUAGUAUCAAAUAAAUAUGUUAUGUUAAGAUUAAAAUUUGAAUAAAAUUUUGGAUAUCUGUACCAGUGACAUCCUAUGUGCCACCAAUUAUUUGUGGGUCCAAUCAGUCUCCCAGAACAACUCCCUACAACUUGUCUUUUUCUUCUUCUUUGAUUAGAGUGGCUACUUUUUUUGAAGGGAAAACUUCAAAUACCCCCUUGUGGUUUCACUUUUUCUCACUUUAGUAUCCUGUGGUUUAAAGUGUAUUAAGUUAGUACCCUGUGGUUUUGCACUUUUUCACUUUAAUACCCUAUGGUUUAAGGCGUAUCAAGUUAGUAUCCCGUGGUUUCGCACUUUCUCACUUUAGUACUAUGUGGUUUAAAAAUCACAGGGUACUAACUUGAUACAAAAAUAAAAUCACAGGGUACUAACUUAAUAAAAAAUAAAAUCACAGAGUACUAAUUUGAUACACUUUAAACCACAGGGUACUAAAGUGAGAAAGUGCGAAACCAUAGGGUACUAACUUGAUAUACUUUAAAACACAGGGUACUAAAAUGAAAAAUACGAAACCACAAGGGUUUUUUUUGAAGUUUUUCAUUUUUUGAACCAUUUACUUGUCUAGUCUCUUUACAAAAAAAAAAUUCCUAUCUAGCCUCCUUUUGAAAAGUAUUCUUAAUCUAGUCUCAUUUUUAUAGAUUAGAAAAAAUAUGAUAAGUUAAUAAUUUGUAUAUAAAUUAAUAUGUUAAGUGGGUGAAGAUUAUCUUUUAUUCUCUCCUUUUAAAUUAAGUGAAUGUAAUGUGAUUUUAUAUAUGAACACUUUUAAAUUAUAUUGACUUGUAUAAUCAAAUUAAGUAUUAGUAGUACUAAUAAAAAAUGAUAAUUUAGAAAUAUUAUUUUUAAUAAAUAAUUUUUUUAUUAAGUGUUCAUAUAUAAAAUCACAUUACAUUCACUUAAUUUAAAAAGAGAGAGAAAAAAGAUAAUCUCCACCCACUUAACAUAUUAAUCUAUAUACAAAUUAUUAACUUAUCAUUUUUUUCCUAAUCUAUAAAAAUGAGAUUAGAUUGAAAAUAUUUUUCAAAAAAAAGGCUAGAUAGAAAAGAUUUUCUCGUAAAGAGACUAGACAAGUAAAUGAAUCGAAUAUAGCUAUGGGUACUCAAAACUAUAAUGUUUGUGUCCAUUCAACACAUAGAAUUAAACUAGUUUAAAAUUUAUUUUGAUUCGUUCAGAUCCGUGGUUCAAUGAUCAUAUAAGCGGGUGAACUGGUCCGAUUUUAAAAAAAACUGGUUUAAUUCAAUAAUUACUUAAAAAUAUUUAUUAAUAUCUGAACAUGAUGUACUUUGAAUAUAUUUUUAAUUAUAUAUGAUAAUAUUUGAUAACAAUUUAGAUUAUUACAUUUAAGUUAUAUGCUCAUCUUUUCGCAUAAAAAAUUUAUUAGUUUUACAAUUUUACAAAAGUGAAAAAGUGGGUAACGAGUGGGUGAUGUUCGUCGUGUUUCUCUCGCUCGUUGGGGUGUUCACUACGCGGAUGCGGCGAAAGAGUUAGUGUGAAGGUGGUGGAGGUGGAAUGAGCGCUCGAAGUUGCCACCAGUGGUAGAAAUAUAAUUCUAAUCUGCAAAAAAAAAGAAAAAAAAAAGUGAUCUACUUUUGUAAAAGCGAAAAACUAUUUUUUUUACCAAAAAACUUUAUAUUUUUAUUAUAUACAAUAUAAAAAUAUUAAUUAAAUAUUGAUGACGCCAGUCAAUUUAAUGAUCCAGGAAUCGAUAAGCUAGCAAUAUUUCUUAAUAGCAAAUAAUUAUUAUAAAUUUUAAAACACCCAUCAAAAGUGCUGAUUUUAUAAUAAUUUAUUAAUAUAUGAGUUUUGUAAUUCGAAGAAUUUCAAUUGAUUCAUACUGAUCUUUUAAAUAUUAUACUAAUUUGCCAGCAUAUUAAAAAAUCUAAAUAAAAUUUUUCUGGAGAGACUACGGAUAUACCUUUGAGUCGGAGAGAUCUCUUAAAAAGUUACUGAUGUGGUGGUACGUUAGUAUGUUACGCAGACAGACGAAAUAUAAUAAAAAAUUAAAAAAGUACCCUUGGCAUUAUACCAAUAUAUAAAAAAAUUAGUUUUUGUAAUUUUUUUUGUCCCAUUUGGUGGCAUCCCAGCUGGUCCUUAGUUGGAAUUUGCAAUGUGCUCCUCAGGUCUAGUUUGGUGUGCUUCUCCAUCUACAAAAUAAAUGGUAAAUUAAUUAUCAAAAAAUAAAAAUAAAAAUAUAUAGAACUCAAUCUAAUAGUGCUUUAUUUAAUAUCUUAUAAAUUUUAAAAAUUGUUACAUUUAUCAAUCUAUGGAUAAUGAAGCACGGAGCUUUAAUACCUUAUUAAAAGCAUAUUUUUUACGAUAAUAAAAUAUCUUUAUAGUAUCUAUUAAAGUUUUUCCCUACAUAAAAUAAAAUAAACUAAAGUCGGUGGAUGACGUGGUAGACCCGGUUCACCAAAAAUUCCACAUCCCUCUCCUACUAACAACUCAACAAGUCGUCAUUACAGGUGACGUAUCUCUCUCUCUCUCUCUCCUCCUUUUCUCUCUCUCUCUCUACACCUCUCUCUUUCUCUCUCUCCUCCUUUUCUCUCUCUCUUUCUACACCUCUCUCUUUCUUUCUCUCUCUUCUCCUCUCUCUCUCUCUACACACCUCCUUUCUUUUUCUCCUCCUCUCCUCUCUCUCUCUCUACAUCUCUCUUUCUCUCUCUCCUCCUCUCUCUCUCAUCUCUCUUUCUCUCUCUACAUCUCUCUUUCUCUCUCUCCUCCUCUCUCUCUCAUCUCUCUUUCUCUCUCUACAUCUCUCUUUCUCUCUUCUCUCUCUACAUCUCUCUCUCUCUUCUCCUCUCCACUCUCUCUCUGCAUCUCUCCUUUCUCUCCUCUCCACUCUCUCUCUCUACAUCUCUCCUUUCUCUCUCUCUCCUCUCCACUCUCUCUCUCUACAUCUCUCCUUUCUCUCUCUCUCCUCUCCUCUCUCUACAUCUCUUCUCUCUCUCUCUCUCUCUCUCUCUCUCUCUCUCUCUCUCUCUCUCUCUCUCCCCAUUUUAAUCCACUACGCAUUUUCCUCUACUCAGAACCAGCCAUGGGUAAUCACAAAGAGACCCUAUAAGAUCGAAACCCUAGGAGGAGAAAAAAGGUACCAUCUUUUUAUCUUUUUUUAUUUAUUUUCCCCCAAUUCUUUUCCCCCCUUUCGAUCAAUUGCAAAAUGUGGCAUUUUUUUCUCCCUAAUAACGAUUAAUUCUCCAUUUGGUAUGAUGCUGCAGUUAUCAUUGUACAUUCGAGUAAUUUGGAGGUGUUAUAGAAUGGGAAAGUGUGCUUUAAUUUACUAUUAUUAUCUGGGAACAAUUUUGAUUUUUUUGUCAAAUUUUAAAGGGUCGGUGUGAAUCCAUGAACAUCAUGUUUAGCAUUAUUUUUUUAUAUUGUUAUUUUGUUCAUUAUGGCCAAAUUGCUACUGAGAAUAACCUGUCCUAGAAUUGUAUGCAAGUAAACCGAUUUAAUGUGUUAAAAUUGCUCUCCUAGGCUUAAUUUUGCGCAUUUUUUGGUUGUUUUUAACCACAAUUUUGAGUAAACCUAAUCAAAUUUCCACACAAUGUGGGUAUUUUCUUUACAUUCUCCUUUUUCACAUCUUUGUUCAUACUAUGUUUGUUUAUUGCGGCAUUGGUCGAAGUUUUCAAAGAGUCUACUUUGUUGCAGUAGCUUUUGCCAAAGAUAUGGCCGAGGAAUUCGAAGAAAAUUGUGAAAAUAACGACCGGCACGGCGAGAUCUAUCAAGAAAAAGUAUACGACGCGUUUGUUUGCCCCCUCACUAAGCAAAUUAUGCGCGAUCCCGUUACCAUCGAAACAGGGUACACCUUCGAUAGAGAAGCAAUUUUGAAAUGGUUCAGGGAAUGUCAGAACAACGGAAGGAAACUCGCGUGCCCCUUGACACGAAAGGAGCUCCGCAGCACCGAUCUUAACCCUAGUAUCGCUCUUCGUAAUGCUAUUGAUGAAUGGACGCAAAGAAAUGAAGCUAAGGAGCUCGAUAAAGCGCACAGAUUACUGCUGAGUUCGGCGAGCUCAGAACAAGAUGCUUUGAGGGCUCUAGAGUUUGUUGUCAAUGUUUCCUGGAAAAGAAGCCGUGCUGUAUAUAAUGGCGGGUUGAUACCGACGAUUUCUGGCUUGUUGAAGAGCGGCAGCAUAACCCUUCGCUCUAAAGCACUCGAGGUUCUUCGCAUUGUAGCCGAGGAAAACAAUGAAAAUAAGGUUUUUUUUCUUCCUUUUCUUUUUUCAAAAUUUCGGGAACUGACAUUUUGUUUCCGAAGUUAUUGAUUUGUCACUUACUUUCUAGGAAGAUAUUGGCGCGGGAGACACCAUACGCACGAUCGUAAAGUUUCUCCUGCAUGAAUAUAUCAAGGAGAGGGAGUUAGCUGUCGCUCUCUUAUGUGAGCUUUCGAAGUCCGAAUCUUUGUGCGAAAAGAUUGGUGGAGUCGACGGGGCGAUUCUCAUAUUGGUAGGAUUGGCGAGUAGCAAAUCGGAAAACAUCGUAGUCGUUGAGAGAGCCGAGCAUACGCUGAAGAAUCUGGAGAAGUGCGAGAAAAAUAUUAAGCAAAUGGCGGAAAAUGGGAGGCUUCAGCCCCUUCUUACGAAACUCCUCGAAGGUGCUUCCUCCCUUUCUAUAAUAUCUGUAACAUCUUUGUCCUGUGUUAUAUUCAUAUUCUCCUUAUCAUGAUCAGUGUAUCACAAAUUUUUCGGUUCUGAAUCAAUUCUCGUAAUCUGUCAUUCUGUUUGUAAAGUUGGUUAUGGCAUACUCGUAAGUCGUGACUUUUACAUCCAUUGAUUCUACAUCUGAAGCAUCAUCGAAUCGCUUACCUCUGAUUAGUAACGAGUUUAUACUAAACUUAGUUAAGAUGCUAUUGUGAGCAAUUUUAUCGGCCUGUCGGAUGAAAUUGUAAAUCACUUUUACAAGAACUUGGUUUCAGGUACGAAUCCCGCGUACUGCAAAAUUUGUCUUCAGUUAUGAAAUAUCAUUUGCUUAGAGGGACCAUUUUUCUUUUUUCUUUUUCGAAACUUACUCUUUAUUAGUACAAAUGUGCAACGGGCGAUAGCGAUAGCCGAGCAGCUUCUCACGCAACUUGUUCUGUAAAAUUUGAGCAGGUUCGCCGGAAACCCAGCUAUCGAUGGCUUUAUACCUUGGCGAACUCAUUCUCGCCAACGACGUAAAGGUCCUUGUGGCACAAACGGCCGGUCCGACGCUGAUAACCAUUAUGACGACGGGAACCGUGCAAGCAAGAGAAGCUACUUUAAAAGCCCUGAAUCAGAUCUCGUCGAACGAAUCGAGCGCCAGCGUACUAAUCGAGGCCGGCAUCCUCCCCCCUCUCGUCAGGGACCUCUUUGCCGUCGGCUGCGGCCGCCUCCCAACGCGGCUGAAGGAGAUGUCCGCCGGCGUCCUGUCCAACCUCGUGGCGUCCGGCGCAGAUCUCGAGGCUGUCCCGUUAGACGACGGCGACCAAACUCUUCUCUCAGAGGAUGUCGUCCACAACCUGCUCCACCUCAUCAGCAACACCGGCCCGGCGAUCGAGCACAGGCUUCUUCAAGUCCUGGUUGGACUGACGAGUUCGCCGACUGCGGUUUCGUACAUUGUUUCCGGCAUUAAAAGCUCAGGUGCCGUUAUCAGUUUAGUCCAAUUUAUCGACGCCGCGCAUACAGAUGUUCGCGUGGCCGCGCUGAAGCUCUUACAUAACAUCUCUCCUCACAUGAGCAUCGAGCUCGCAGAAACUCUCGGAGGUAGUUCCAGCCAUUUGGGCACCGUACUUGAUGCCAUUUCGGACAACAACGGGAUCGCAGAAGAACAAGCCGCGGCCAUCGGGCUUCUGGCUGAGCUUCCUGAGAUGGACUCUGGCCUCACCAAACAGCUUUUCAAACAAGGAGCUUUCAGAGUUGUCAUUACAAAACUGCUCAGUAUAAGGGACGGCGGGGCUCGCAGCAACCGCUACAUAGGGCCUUUUCAGGAAGGGCUCGUGCGAGUGCUCUCAAGGCUUACGUACUGCUUAGCGGAGCCCGAACACAUCGCCUUCGCAAAGGAGUACGAUCUCGCCACAGUUUUCGCCGGUCUAAUCGAAGCAAACGGGAGCGAUAAGGUGAUAAUAGCUUCAGCUUUCGCACUCGAGAACCUCUCGCAAGAAUCCAAGUACUUGACAGCAAAACCUGAGCCGCCAAAGUGUACUCUACUGUCCUGCUUCAGUAAGCCGCCGUCGGUUUCUGGGCUCUGCCGCAUACACCAUGGGUUCUGUACAGCGAAAGAGAGCUUCUGCUUAUUGGAGAGUAGGGCGGUCGAGAAGUUGAUUGCUUGUUUAGACCACACCAAUGAGAAGGUCGUCGAGGCCGCAUUGGCUGCGCUUUGCACUCUGCUGGACGAUACCGUCGACACCGUAGAAGGGGUGUAUGUGUUGUGUGAGGCCGAGGGGAUUAAACCGAUUUUCGAUGCUCUGAUACAGAAUCGGACCGAGAUUAUUCAGAAAAGAGCAGUUUGGGCCGUCGAGAGGUUUUUGCGAAUCGACGACAUCGCGAGAGAAGUUUCGGGGAAUCAGAGUGUGGGCUCGGCUCUUGUGGAAGCUUACAGGAAUGGUGACUACCGGACGCGGCAGAUCGCGGAGAGAGCAUUGAAGCAUAUAGAAAGGUUGCCAGAUUUCUCUGCCAUAGCUGCUCAGAGUUAAGAGUUGUUGUUAUGUUCAAGAGGCAAGGUUUGCUUGGUAAGCAUAUAUCUACUUUUGCAAAUUUUCUCUACUCUUCCAUUGUUUAUUCUUUUUCAUGGUUUUUCUCUUGGAGAUUAUUCAUGUUAUCACUACUUUAUAUAUAUAUAUAUAUAGAGAGAGAGAGAGAGAGAGAGAGAGAGAAUAGGCUACUAUACUCAUAUAAGAGUAUAGAACUUUUGGUACUCAUAAGUUGUUUUUUAAUGGAGCUUCCGUAUCGAUGAUCCACUACGUUAAAUAUCAUCUAUAGUAUUUAAAACUUUUAAAAAAUAAAUUUUGUAAUUUUUUGAAAUCAUAAAAAAAUCAUCAACCGGCCAUUAAAAAUUAUUAAUUUUUAGAUCUUUCGAUCGUAAUGUAAAUUAUUUUAAAAAGUUAUAAAAUUUGAUUUUUAGAAGUUUUAAAUACUAAUAUAAUGUUUAACGGUAUGAAUCGUUGAUUCGAAAGUUCCAUCCUCAAAAACGAUUUAUGAGUACGAAUGUGAUUGCACUCAUAAGAGUAUAUAUAUAAUGUUCAAUUAUGGUAUUUGUAAAUUUUUUUAUCGUUAGAUAUAUUUUUUUGAUCAUUUUCAUCCGUUAGAUCAUACUAUUCAACUACCCACUCAACCCUAGAGAUUUCACAUCAUCUUAAUUGCGCAUCCCUUAAUUCAAUAACAAAAAACCUACGAGCACCAAUAACUUAUACUUUAAAAAAAUUAAAGUUCAAUUAUAUAUAUAAUAAAAAAAAAAAAAAAAUUUAUAGAUAUAAUAUAAAUUAUAUAUAUAUAAUUGAGCUUCUAUGCUUUUAUAAAAUACCAAAUUAUUGUGGCUUGUAUAGUUUUUAGCCGCCUUGAUUAAAGGGAGUGCCGUUUACGACGAUGUGAGCCUCCUAUGGGUUGAGUGGGUGGUUGUUGAGAUAGUAUAAAUCUAACGGUACAAAUGAUCCAAAGGCUUAAAUCUAACGUGGAUAAACUAAAUAGUACCACAAUAUUUGGCUAUCGAUAGUACCCACAGCAGGAUAUAAUAUAUAUAUAAUAUAUGAUAUAUUAUAUAGUAGGAGUGGAACUAUUAUUAAAUAUAAAACAGCUUCUUUUUUGCUUCAAGUUUUUAAACCUUGAUGAAAAUGUAGGUCAGGAAUGAUAAUUAGUCGAUAGAAGUGAAGUGUCUCCCUUAGGGUUGAGUGGUUCCCACGGUUAUAUAUUUAAUCCAAUGGUUAGAGAAUAAUGAAAGAGUUGAUCCAAGCCUAAAAAUAGUAGCCACAAUGAAUUGUCUGUACUAUAGUAGCCCAGUCCACUCUCUCUCUCUCUAUAUAUAUAUAGUCUCUCUCUCGUCUUCUCUCUCUACUAUAGAUAUAUAGAGAGAAGUAGGAGAAGCGCCUAAAACUAGUCAUAUUUAGAGGCACGGAGGCCUCCGUGCUACCAAGUUAUUUUAUGAUGCGGCUUUCAAAAUCAAGAUCGGCCCCGUUGAUUUGAUUCGUACACUAUUAAAAUAUUUAAACUAAUUUUCAUAAUUAUUCGACUUUUUUGCUAGUUCAAAGUCCUCAAAAUUAACAAUUUAAUGUAAUGAUAUGUGUUGUGUGAAUUUAACGGUGUAAAUAUACACAAUUUGAAUUGAAUUUAAUAGAAUUUUGUUCAACUAUAUAGAAUAAGAUUAAGAACCUCUAUAUCUUAAAUUCAAUCUUUUACAUCAUUUUUUUAUAUAGAUUUUUAUUUUAAGCCGUCAUUUUUAGAACCUACUCUUAUAGUAAAUAAUGUCGAAAAUUAUAAAAUUAAUUUUCAAAUAUUUUUAAUAGUGUAGAUCAAGUCUAACGAGAGCGAAUCGUCGAUUGGAUAGCCGCAGUUAUCGAAACGAACUUAGUAGCCCGGAGGCUACCGAUAGUAUACCGCCUAACUUAUAAUACAUAUAUAUAAUAUAUUUAUAUAUAGUAUAUGUGUAAAACUAUAAGCACUUUAAAAUUGGCUUACCAAAUAUUUUAAAAUUAAUUUUACUACUAAAACAUUCAUUGUUUUAUAAUCAAUAAGAGACUUCUAUCUAUGAAAUUUAAACUAAAUUUUUAUGUUUAAUAAACUUAUAGUUUAAUAAUUAUAAAAAAAAAUAUAAUAAUAAACAAAGAAAUAUAACACAUUCAAUUUUAUGAAAUUAAGAGAUAUAUAACUAUUUCAAUAUUUUACUAAAAAAGAAAUAUAUAACACAUUCAAAUUUACUAAAGACUAAAAAAAAUAAUACACUUUCAAAUUUUAUAUCAAAAAUAUCAUUAACCAACUCGCAUUAAAUAAAACUAAAAGUGAAGAGUUAAAACAAAAAAUUAAAACAUAUGUUAAUGUAUCAUUUGAAAUAGGAAAUAAAAUCAAAAUUCUGAAUAUCCAACGCAGAUUGAUGUAGCCUAAUCAGUUACGAAUUGGAAAUAAAAUUCUGGUAAGGUCCAUAUGAAUCAAUAUGUAUAACAACAAAGUGAAAUAGUAAAAAAAAAAAAAAAAAAAUUGGAACCCACACCAGCAAAUAUAAUCUAUUACUUCAAUCAAAAGUGAUUGAAUGUAUAAGCGGAAUGAAUGUAAAGUAUCCUACAAUUAGAACAUUGAUCAUACUAAUUUAAUUUAUCCUCUUUUUUUUUUUUUUUGGAAUACAACGGCUAAAUCAGUUGAACUAUAAUCUCUGAUGCAUCUUUAACAUGCAAAAAGAUUUACUUACAUUACCAACCACAGCUUCAGAAAUUUACAUUCCUCUUCAAUAUCUAAUAAACCAAUAUAAGACCAAAUCAUCACCAAAGCAACUUCAUAUUAUCAUCACAAAUCAUCAAACUACUAUAAACUCUUCACCCACUCUUGAUUCUUAAACCAAUAACAAGAUUAGAAAUUUCAGAGUAGCUGAUGCAGCAGAAACACUAUAAAAGAUCCAACCCCUUUUUCAUUCCAAGAUCAAAUUUUACAUCCCAAACCAACAAAACCAACAACCUGGCCCUGAAGAUAGAAACCCUAACCCUAACCCUAGCCCUAGCCCUAGAGAGGGGCACCUGUCUCGUUCUCACCCGCCGAAGCCGUAGAGGGUGCGGCCCUGGCGCUUGAGGGCGUAGACGACGUCCAUGGCGGUGACGGUCUUGCGGCGGGCGUGCUCGGUGUAGGUGACGGCGUCGCGGAUGACGUUCUCGAGGAAGAUCUUGAGCACGCCGCGGGUCUCCUCGUAGAUGAGGCCGCUGAUGCGCUUCACGCCGCCGCGCCGCGCCAGGCGCCGGAUCGCGGGCUUCGUGAUCCCCUGGAUGUUGUCGCGGAG